UUAAUUGAAACCAAAUAAGAGGUAUACCAUUGUUAAUGGUACCAAUGGGACCCCCCCCCCAAUUAAA
rnacentral:tRNA from 1 species